rnacentral:rRNA from 1 species
UACGUAGGGUGCGAGCGUUGUCCGGAAUUAUUGGGCGUAAAGAGCUCGUAGGCGGCUUGUCACGUCGGGUGUGAAAGACCGGGGCUUAACCCCGGUUCUGCAUUCGAUACGGGCUGGCUAGAGUGUGGUAGGGGAGAUCGAAUUCCUGGUGUAGCGGUGAAAUGCGCAGAUAUCAGGAGGAACACCGGUGGCGAAGGCGGAUCUCUGGGCCAUUACUGACGCUGAGGAGCGAAAGCGUGGGGAGCGAACAGG